rnacentral:rRNA from 1 species
GAUGAACGCUGGCUACAGGCUUAACACAUGCAAGUCGAGGGGAAACGACGGGGAAGCUUGCUUCCCCGGGCGUCGACCGGCGCACGGGUGAGUAACGCGUAUCCAACCUGCCUCUGACUGAGGGAUAACCCGUCGAAAGUCGGCCUAAUACCUCAUGGCAUCGUCUGCGGGCAUCCAACGACGAUUAAAGAUUUCAUCGGUCAGGGAUGGGGAUGCGUCUGAUUAGCUAGUUGGCGGGGUAACGGCCCACCAAGGCGACGAUCAGUAGGGGUUCUGAGAGGAAGGUCCCCCACAUUGGAACUGAGACACGGUCCAAACUCCUACGGGAGGCAGCAGUGAGGAAUAUUGGUCAAUGGGCGAGAGCCUGAACCAGCCAAGUAGCGUGCAGGAUGACGGCCCUAUGGGUUGUAAACUGCUUUUAUGCGGGGAUAAAGUGAGGGACGUGUCCUUCAUUGCAGGUACCGC